CAGUAGCCGCGGUAAUACGUAGGUGGCAAGCGUUAUCCGGAAUGAUUGGGCGUAAAGCGUCUGUAGGUGGCUUUUCAAGUCCGCCGUCAAAUCCCAGGGCUCAACCCUGGACAGGCGGUGGAAACUACCAAGCUGGAGUACGGUAGGGGCAGAGGGAAUUUCCAGUGGAGCGGUGAAAUGCGUUGAGAUCGAAAAGAACACCAACAGCGAAAGCACUCUGCUGGGACGACACUGACACUAAGAGACGAAAGCUAGGGGAGCAAAUGGGAUUAGAUACCCCAGUAGUCCCUGUCUCUUAUAC
rnacentral:rRNA from 1 species